ensembl:processed_transcript 9230116N13Rik RIKEN cDNA 9230116N13 gene
AGUCCGCAGCCGCCGUCCAGCACGCAGGUUACGCCGGAGCACAGGAGCGGGAGCCGGAGGCCCGAGGCCCGAGCUGCCAGGGCGGCGCACGCUCACCCGCGCGGACCGGGCCGCGUCCGUUCCCGCUCGGGCCGCUCCGGUCCAGGCGCAGGGCCGAGUUUCCGGCCGAGUAGCCGGGAAGCUCCGCAAUCCCAGCCAGGGUUUGAGGGCCCCGCGCCUGCGCACAGCGGGAGGCGGAGCUUCAUCUGGCCACGCCCUCGCGGUGACGCGCUGCGGAGGGCGGUGCACAGGGUAGCGGGCAGAUGUGGGAAUCCUUUUGGAAGGCUCUAGCAUGGAGUAGGCUGGUGAGAAAGGAUUGCCAGGAAGGGCGGGGCCCUCCACGCUUAGAAAGUGGGAAGUUUGAGUGGGCCAGGAAAACCUCCUGUCAGAUACUGAGAAUAACUCGAGAAUCCGAGCAACUUGAUAUGGCGUAGUUAAUAUGCCAAAUAUUCAUAGAUGCAGCACUCCGCCCCGCGCUGUGUAAACCAAAACUAAAACCAACCUUCAAAGUCUCCCUAGUUCCAACGGGUGGCCUUCACUUUGCCAACUUCUGGAACAGCCUGACAGGUCCCAGGACUUGCACUUCUGUUGGGGUGGGGAGGAAGUUGGACAGGAGAAGCAGGGAAAUAGAGAUGAAGGUCAGAGCACAACGUUGGGAAGCCAGUUCUCUCUGCCUCGGUGAGGCAGCAUCUCUUGUUCCUGCUAUGUUGUGCAUUCCACAUAGAUCAGUGCCUCAUUCUGCCAUCAUCAGAUAAAGUUUUCUCCAGAGAGAGCGAGACAGAGACAGAGACUCAAUCUCCAUCAAACCCCUCUUCUCAGGGUUCAGAGAGCCAGGGAGAAGAGACAGAAAGAUUGUAAGAACCAGAGAUGACCCUAGGAAAACAGUGUCUUCCAGACACAACAGCACUGACACACAUAUAUGAACUCCUAGAAAUAGGAUGCUCAGGGCCUGAAUAGGUUCAAGACAGAUGGAGUCCUAGAACAGAGAAGCAAGAAGACAUGAGCUCCUAUUCCUAAGAAGCUGUCUCCAACUGAUACCUGCUUGCAAAGAAAAAAAUAACUUUCUCCACUGGAGUCUCACAGGGUGUACAAGCCAGCCACCCUUAACAGCCAUCCCAUGCCCAGCAGUGGAUGACCAGAUCAAUGGUAUUUUAUUUGCGUGUAUGUCUGUAAACCAUAUGUAUACAGUGCCCACAGAGGCCAGAAGAGGAUGUUAGAACCCCUACAACUGGAGUUACAGAAGGUUGUGAGCUACCAUGUGGGUGCUGGGAAUGGAACGUGGGCCUUGAAGAGGAGCCAGUGUUCUUAAUCACUGAAACAUCUUCUCCAGCCCCUAUGUUUUCAGUUUUAAAGUUGACUUUGAAAAGAAUCAGACUCUGAAAAGUUUUGACGAAUGAAGCAUCCAUGUUCCUCACAUGGGCUCAGUUCGUAUGCUUGGAACAGGAUUUGUGUUGUUGAACAGUGUGAGAAUACAUUAUAGCAUCCAAAGGCAAAGCUGUUCUUUCACGUAUCCACAGAACAAUGCUCAAAUUUAGGUAAUUUAACAUUGAAGCAAUACUAUGGCUGUGAUUCAGUCUCUAUUUAAAAUUUGCCAGUUGUAGUCCAAGGCAGACUCUCCCUCCCCAGCCCAGGCUGGAUUGAAACUCUAAACACUGGGAUGCCAGGCCUGUUUCUCCACUCUGGGUUCUCUUCCUGCUUCCUUUAUGGAGUCUUUUGAUGAGUAAAACUUAACAAGUUUAAUGUACUUAGGUUUGUCUGUCUCUUCUUCUGUAGCUAGCAACUUUGAUGUCCAAAAAGCCUUGCAUAUCCUAAAAUGAAGAUUUCUUUUCUUAGGAUUUUUGGGAAGUUUUGGUUUUCUUGUUUAUAGUUAAAUCAUGGCUCCACGUUGGAAUUAGUUUGUGUUUGCUAUGAAGUAAGGAUCGACUUCUUGAUUAGAAUGGAGAGGAUUUGGACUUCAGUUGGCAAGAAGGUAGUUGUCUGAAUAGUAGUUAUUAACUAGGAUCUUUUUUCAAAUGACUGUCAAUGUUACAUCUGGGAUGUAUCAAUGUUUCAAAAUGC